UGGACAUGAUGCUGUGAGGCGG
rnacentral:misc_RNA from 1 species